GCUCAACCGUGGAGGGUCAUUGGAAACUGGGAAACUUGAGUGCAGAAGAGGAAAGUGGAAUUCCAUGUGUAGCGGUGAAAUGCGCAGAGAUAUGGAGGAACACCAGUGGCGAAGGCGACUUUCUGGUCUGUAACUGACGCUGAUGUGCGAAAGCGUGGGGAUCAAACAGGAUUAGAUACCCUGGUAGUCCACGCCGUAAACGAUGAGUGCUAAGUGUUAGGGGGUUUCCGCCCCUUAGUGCUGCAGCUAACGCAUUAAGCACUCCGCCUGGGGAGUACGACCGCAAGGUUGAAACUCAAAGGAAUUGACGGGGGCCCGCACAAGCGGUGGAGCAUGUGGUUUAAUUCGAAGCAACGCGAAGAACCUUACCAAAUCUUGACAUCCUUUGACCACUCUAGAGAUAGAGCUUUCCCCUUCGGGGGACAAAGUGACAGGUGGUGCAUGGUUGUCGUCAGCUCGUGUCGUGAGAUGUUGGGUUAAGUCCCGCAACGAGCGCAACCCUUAAGCUUAGUUGCCAUCAUUAAGUUGGGCACUCUAGGUUGACUGCCGGUGACAAACCGGAGGAAGGUGGAGAUGACGUCAAAUCAUCGUGCCCCUUAUGAUGUGCGCUACACACGUGCUACAAUGGACAAUACAAAG
rnacentral:rRNA from 1 species